GGAGGACCAAGCCAGGAGAAGCCCUGGGCCCUCCUGACUCCCACUUUGGGCUCUCCCUGCCCUGGUGAAAUGACAGAACGGCCAACUUGACACGCUGAAGCUGCUCUGUCUCAUGCGUCCUCCUCAUUUCUGGAUCCAGAGCCAGGGCUGCCAGGAGUAGCCAGAGAGCUCUGUGUGGUGAUGUUCAUAUUAGUGAGGUUUACCUUGACCACGAGCAGUGGGAAACUCAAAAUAAUGGUGGCUUAUUUCUCAUCUAAAAACAUCCCGGGGUGGGUGGUCUGGGACUGAUCUGGUGGACCCAGGCUCCGCCUUGUUGCUUGACUGUUGGCAGCACCUGCUUACUUACCACUCAUGGUGCAAGAUGACACUUCAGCCUCCGCCAAAAUGCUCACCUUCCAGCCAGCAGGAAGUCGGAAGGAGAAGAAAGGGGACAGAGCCCCAUGGCGUCCAUCCUUAGAGGAUGCUGCCACCUGAACCUCUGCUUUCAUCCUGUUGGUCAGAACCCAGUCACAUGACCACACCCAGUGGCAACGGAGGCUGGGAAAUAUAGUCUUUAUUUUGGGCACCCAUGUGUCCAGCAAAACUGGGGGUUCCAUCAGUCGGCAAGAAUGGGAGAGUGGCCGAUGCAGUGGCUGAUGCUUGUAUCCCA
rnacentral:lncRNA from 10 species